rnacentral:rRNA from 1 species
UGAGGCCGAAAGGCGUAGCCGAUGGACGGCAGGUUAAUAUUCCUGCGCUACUGUGGAGAUCAAUCAUGAGUGCGGAUCGGUCAGCCCUGCGUAAGCACCAGCUUGCUGAGGCCCUUGAGGCCGCUGCAGGGGGCUCUGGUCCCGAGAAAAGCUCAUGUGGCAAAGCAGUACCCGUACCAAAACCGACACAGGUAGAUGAGGUGAAUAACCUAAGGCGCUCGAGAUAACGGAAGUGAAGGAAUUAGGCAAAUUGACCCCGUAAGUUCGCGAUAAGG